UUUGACAGUGGCUAGAUUACAAGGCCCGAUUAGUACACCCGACUAUCCGGCCACCGAGUUAAAGAAGCAUUUAGAACAUACUAAUACUGAAAUGUCAAAUGGGGACGGUAUUUUCCUGGCUGAAAUUUAUUUGACACGUUUGGUUAAUCAUCUAAACAAAUGUGAAGCAAUUUAUUUACCAUGACCGAAGAUGAUUGACACCCUGGAUGGCAUUAACUUAAGGAUUGAGUGGCGCAGCGCCCCCUUAAAAUCAAACUACCGCAAAAUCGACUCUUAGAGCCCUUGUU